GAUGAACGCUGGCGGCGUGCCUAAUACAUGCAAGUCGAGCGAACAGACGAGGAGCUUGCUCCUCUGACGUUAGCGGCGGACGGGUGAGUAACACGUGGAUAACCUACCUAUAAGACUGGGAUAACUUCGGGAAACCGGAGCUAAUACCGGAUAAUAUAGUGAACCGAAUGGGUCAAUAGUAAAAGACGGUUUUGCUGUCACUUAUAGAUGGAUCCGCGCCUCAUUAGCUAGUUGGUAAGGUAACGGCUUACCAAGGCAACGAUGCGUAGCCGACCUGAGAGGGUGAUCGGCCACACUGGAACUGAGACACGGUCCAGACUCCUACGGGAGGCAGCAGUAGGGAAUCUUCCGCAAUGGGCGAAAGCCUGACGGAGCAACGCCGCGUGAGUGAUGAAGGUCUUCGGAUCGUAAAACUCUGUUAUUAGGGAAGAACAAAUGUGUAAGUAACUAUGCACGUCUUGACGGUACCUAAUCAGAAAGCCACGGCUAACUACGUG
rnacentral:rRNA from 1 species